rnacentral:tRNA from 1 species
GGGUAAUUAGCUCAGUUGGUAGAGCAGCUGACUCUUAAUCAGCGGGUCGCAGGUUCGAUCCCUGCAUCACCCACCA